AAGUCGCGGCAAUUAAUCACGGUGUAGCGCUCAUAUUUUUUAUGAGAAGAUAUAUUCAAUUUUUUGGUUCAUUGGAGUGGUAAACUAAAAUUUCUAUGAAUAUUACUUUCCUUCCAAGGUUUUCCAUCAUGGGGAUCAUUUUACCGUUUUUACAAACUUAAACUCAAAGUUAUUGAAAUUAGAAUCUGGUUUGACCCUCAUCGUCCACACAACUUAUAACACAAUUCAGUGUCAAUAAUUAAUAGCACUGUGAGCGAUGGAAAGCAGUACUAUGCUGCAUCAAUGUGAUCAAGUCAAAAACCGACAUUUUAACAUUUAACAUCAUUUCCUUUGGUUAUCAUUUGAAUGUGGAUCAUCUUUCGGUGGUUGUUUAAGGCUUUCAGCCAAAGAUUCUUCUAUGUGAAAGAAAGCCAUAUACUUUAAAGCCGUAAUCAUGUAGCUCAUUGAGCAUUUUAUAAACAGAUGUUCAUAAUAGGUAGCAGUUCUUUCAGCAGUUUUUGUUUUAUUUCCCGUCGGUAUUUUUUUUUCCUUUUGGCUAAUAUAACUACACUUUUUUACACAGCAUUCCGUAAACAGACCUCAGACAAAAUUAGCAGUUUCAUUAAAUAUGCCAUUUCAAAUGAAAGGUGUUUCAAUUCAAUAAAUUACCUAACCCUAACCCUAACCCUAACCCUAUGAAAUCACAACUUUAGAUAGCUAUGUGUUAUUUAACAUUUUUACUAGUAUAUAAUAUCAUUUAAUUCUUUAGCGCAGUCUUGUUUUAGUUUUGAAUGUUUAAUAGUUACAGGACACACUUGUUUAUAGCAGUAAUUUUUUAAUUGAUUACUUUUAUCCUACUUACGCACGCCAUAAAAUUUUGUAAUUGUUGUUUUUACGACAAUGCGUGAUAAAGAAAAUACAGUUUUACAUACAUCGCGUGUAAAUCAGAGAGAGAAGAGAGAAGAUCAAACUGUGAAGUAAAUUCAAAUGUAGAUAACGAAAUAGUAAAUAUGAAAAAUCCUAAGGUCUAGUUUUUGUUUUAACUAGUUCAGGGUUUUUUUAUCGUGUCAUUAUAAAAUGUAAAGAAUACGCAUUGUUUGAACUGAAUUGUAAAGGUGCGUAAACAACUCGACAACUUUUAUAAAUGAAGUGUUCUCGGACUUCAGUGAAAACCUCCUACAUUAUUAUAAUUCUAACCAUAUAAACACAUUAAGUUGCAAAGAA